UACGAAGGGGGCGAGCGUUGUUCGGAUUUACUGGGCGUAAAGGGCGCGCAGGCGGCUUAUUUUGUCAGGCGUGAAAGCCCCGGGCUUAACCUGGGAACUGCGUUUGAUACGGAUGGGCUAGAGUUCGGGAGAGGAGAGUGGAAUUCCCAGUGUAGAGGUGAAAUUCGUAGAUAUUGGGAAGAACACCGGUGGCGAAGGCGGCUCUCCGGACCGAGACUGACGCUGAGGCGCGAAAGCGUGGGGAGCAAACAGG
rnacentral:rRNA from 1 species